UACGAAGGGGGCUAGCGUUGCUCGGAAUUAUUGGGCGUAAAGGGCGCGUAGGCGGCUUGACAAGUCAAAGGUGAAAUCCCUCGGCUCAACUGAGGAACUGCCUUUGAAACUGUCUGGCUUGAGGCCGGGAGGGGGUAGCGGAAUUCCCAGUGUAGCAGUGAAAUGCGUAGAUAUUGGGAGGAACGCCAGUGGCGAAAGCGGCUUCCUGGACAGGUUCUGACGCUGAUGCGCGAAAGCGUGGGUAGCAAACAGG
rnacentral:rRNA from 1 species